rnacentral:lncRNA from 1 species
CGUGAGGCAUGGAGCGGGGAGUAAGUGAUCUGCGCCCCGGGCCGGGGUCACUCACCCGCCUCGCUCUGGUUGUAGUAGCGGAGCAGGGUCCGCAGGUUCACUCGGUCAGUCUGUGCCUGGGCCUUGGCGCCCAGUGUCUGUAGGUCCCAAUACUCCGGCCCCUCCUGCUCCACCCACCGCGCCCGCGUCUUCAUCCUCAGACUCACGGCGUCACUGUCGACCCGCACGAACUGCGUGUCGUCCACGUAGCCCACGGCAAUGAAGCUGGGCUCCCCGCGGCCCGGCCAGGAAACGGCGGUGCUGAAAUACCUCAUGGAGUGGGAGCCUGGGGGCGAGGAGGGGCUGAGACCCGCCCGACCCUCCUCCCGGCGCGGCUCCCCGGGUCCUGCGCCCCAGCCAGGUGGACCUUUCGCUCCUCACGGCAGAGGCCGUUUCCCUCCUGACCCCGCACUCACCCGCCCAGGUCUCGGCCAGGGCCAGGGUCCCCGAGAGCAGCAGGAGGAGGGUUCGGGGCGCCAUGACCCCAUCGUCGGCGUCUGGGGAGACUCCGAGUCCCGGUGGGUGCGUGGGGACUUUAGAACCGGGGCCGCGCGACGCUGAUUGGCUUCCCUAGAAACCCGACACUCAGUGGGAGUGAGAACUGGGUCCGCGUCGUGAGUGUCCAGGAAGAAGGACCCGUCGCAGGCUGGGAGAGGGAGAAGAGAAACUCUGCGGAGAUGGGGAAUCCCCAAUGCUGCACCUCCCCAGCCCAUGCACCGCCUUCGGGGCCUGAGACCCUGAGAGCCAUGCCUGGGGCUCUGGGACUUCGCCCUGACCCCGCUCCUCCUGUGACAAACGCUCUGUCUCAAUGUUCCCUGAGUCUUGGUCCAGGAGCUGUCCGAGAAACCAGGAAGAAACCCUCAGCUUGGGCCCCGUCCCUCUCCUUUCACUUUUCAUCCGGGAAUUCCUGUCCCUGAAAUGGACUCCCUGCUUCCCCACUGCUUACCUGUUCUCCUGGACUCUUC